UUUAAAUUCUGUCAUUAUUAUUUAAUAAACCCCUUUGAGCUAGGCUUAAGUAUGCCUUGUUUUAUGUAUAUUUUUCUUUUGAAAUUACGAAUGAACCCUACAAACUCACACUCACUCACUCACUCACUCCGCUGGGUCUGCAACCAAAAAAAUGUGUUGGCCUGCGCCAAUUGCCGGCUUUCAGCUGCUGCAGCUCCUCCAGUCUGUCCUGAGCAGUACCUAGGCCAACCUACUGGUCUAUGACCGCUUGGACUUAGGUAAGCUUCCUUUAACGCCCGAUUAUGACCCACACGCUCCAGACGCCCAGGGAAUUUGGGUCUACAAUCUCGUCUCGAUAUCAUAUAUACCUUCGAACAACUCAGCUCGCCAUUUUCUAUCAACAGUCUACUCUCCAAACCAAUUGAUAUGUAAAAGAAGGCGUCAUCAUCAUCCCUAUAAGCAGCGCUUGUACGGAGAUAGAUUAUCAACAUUUAAUUCGUGUACUAUCGGGCAGUUUAAAAUUUUAAUAUGUUUAUUAUUUAAAUUGCAGUAACGAGCCAAAAGUAUCCGAAAAGCCAUGCACAUCGUCACAAACUGCAGAAUCCAGCAACACGGCUGGUCCGUGCAAUCUAAAACGGCACUCUAACGUCGAUGUCAAUACUGUCAAUAAUACCAAACGGCGGCGUUUUAAUAAUUCGUUCAUUAACAAUGUAUUUGCUGGAGUAUUCCUCACCCGUAUAACGUGCAUACAUUGUGGCUCUUCUUCACGCUCUAGAGAUGUUUGCCGCGAUAUACAGUUGGCGUUCCCAGAGAAAUCCGGUGGCAACCAAUACACUAUUCAAGGGCUGAUCGACUUUUAUUUCUCUAAUGAAAUAUUAACAGGAGAGAAUCAGUACCAGUGCCAUCAUUGUAAUAUUUUGCGGGAUGCCGAGAAAUGUGUCAUCAUAGAAUCUACCCCGAAAAUAUUGAUAAUAAUUUUGAAAACUUUUAAAUACGAUACAAAACUUCGGGUUCAGACGAAAUUGAUGCACUCUGUGAUGUACAAUACAUCUGUUAAAUUGCCAACUCUGCGCAGCCAGACGGAUAAUAACUCGUAUAAUUUGUUCGCUGCUGUAAUUCACGCCGGUACCACCAUGAAUGCUGGCCACUAUUAUACGUUAGGAAAAGACAAUAGUGAUUGGUACAUAUUCGACGAUUCCAGGGUAAAAGCAACAGACGAGACUGGCAUUAACAGGCUCGACUGUUCACACACACCGUAUAUGCUCUUCUAUAGGAGGAAUGAUGUAGUUGAAGGUACAAUUGCAGCUUUCGCAACUCUGCCUAGACAGAUGCAACAAACGGUGAUGUCAUGCAACAAGGCCCACUUAGAACUCCGUAAAACGACCAAAACUCAAGUAAGACACAUGACAAGUAUAUGGACUUUUCAUUAGACUGUGAUAUAUAAACACUAUAGACACAUAUGUGGAGUGAGAUUAAAAGUGUCGGAACUCAUUUUUAUUUUCGAUUUAAAUUCUUUAUUGCAGAAAUGAUUAUAAGAAAGAAAACGUUUUAAUAAAGUAUAUUUUUAUUGUGUAUGGCAACACUCAAGAGUAUAUAUUUGUGCGGGUCAACAUUUUAGUGUGGAACUAUAAUCUGAACAUUUUAAGAGAGUGAGCGUUACAUGAGGGUUGCAGCUAAUGAAAAUUGUGUUUUUCAAUGUAAUGAAAACCAAAACAUCUAAUUAAGAACAUUUAUGUUAGUGUAGUUAAAUGUCACUUUUCAAUCAAAUAAUUAAAUUAAAUCGAAUCAUUUAUAAUUCUUCAUUGAUCAAACACUAGACUAUUUGUUUUUUUUAUCUGUAACCAAAAUUUAUGAUAAAUUAAGUCUUUAUAUAUAUUGGAUUGUAAAUAGAUAGAAGUACAUACCAUUGAAUACACACACUUUUAGAACCCACAGUUAGCCACUAGUGGCCUAUGUAAUAAGUCAAUGUGAUUAAUAUAUCAAAUAAAUUCUGGAGAGCUGUUAUCUUAUACAAAUAUCUGUUGUAAACAAUUAUUUUAUUCAUA